UGAGACGCCAUUCCUCAUCCUGGGCUCAGCCAAUCGGGUGCUGAAGCAGAACUUAAUUAAUAUAAUGAGUCUGGCUGACACCAUCCUUGAGGAAGAAAACAAGAGCAAUGUCAUAACAGGAACGGAAACAGUGUAUGAAAGUCAGUCGGGUGACAUUGAAGGUGUUGGGAUCCACAUUCGCAGGCAGUUGUUCAUUGUAAGUGACAGCAAUGAAACUUUACAGCAAAUCUCAUUAUCAGCGGACACCGUGAGGAAAAACAUGUAUCCCAGCAUCCUCAA